rnacentral:lncRNA from 7 species
AAACAAAAAACCUCACAAAACAAAACCAACAACCAACCUCAAAAAAAGCCCUUAGGAUGAAAUUAUUAAUGUAUUUUCUGUUAGUGAAAUCUUCAGUCAUCAUUUGUGCAUAUUUAUUCCAAAGCUGGAACGUAGAGAAAAGCACAUUAAAGAGAAAUAUGCAUGUUAGAAUGUGCAGCUCAUUAAGAAACAUCAUAUACAUGAUGUGUAAUGAGUACAGCUCAUACAACAGUAUAUCACCAAGGGCAAUGUGUUAGAAUUCCACAAUGUGUUAGAAUUCCAGAAGAAGACAGAAGCUUUGUCAGCCUUCCAGUGCUGGGUGAGAAAAACUGCAGGUAUGAAGUCUUCUGGGAUGGUUGAUUUUUGCAGGUGAUUUGAACAACAGAGAUUUAGUAUGGAAGCACUAAUGCUAUGUCAGAAUGAAAAGAAAUCUAGUAGUAUACAAUAUCUUACUUUUCAAAGUGCUUUUCACCCUGUAUUAUCAUGGAGACCAAAUGAAAAAGUUUCUGAAGUAAUCCAGUCUGUUCUCUGUCAUUGCUGAAUUGUUUCUUUCUAGGUAUUAGGUUUUCACUGUUAUACGUCAUAGCAAAUGCCACUUCUGUUGAAGAGAAGAACAGAGCCCAGAUAAUAUAAAGAUUGUCCAGUGCUUAACUAAACAAUAUGAACUCUUUGGUCAGCUGAAAAAAAAAAAAAAAAAAAAGAAAAGAAAAAAAAACCUCUCUACUCCAUGGCUUUCAUUAUAGUUCCAUGAUUGUCUUGACCUAAUAUGAUCUGCAAAUAACCAAAUUAUUUCUACAGAAAAAUACCAACGUGACCUUAUUUGUAGAUAUGAAUUCUGUACCCAUCACCCUACAUUUAGGCUGAAUCCCACAGUUAGGGUGGGUAAAUGUAAUCUAGCUGUUUCCUAAGACUACACUGAGAUGGGAACCCAGUCUGGUGCUAAUGAAGUUAAUGGACUUGCUUUCUAAGCCCCCUAGAGUGCUCUUCAUUUUACUUGUUGCCAACAACAACCUUUUUAAUCACAGUCACAUCUGCUAGAAGAGUGAAUUGUGAGCUAUCAUUCUUAAGCCCCUUUCACUAUACUACACAGAGACACAGCUGUUCUGCAUCUUCAUCCCAAAUUAAUACUCAAAGCUGAGCACCACCUGAAUGAGAGCAUCCAUCUCAGGCCACUAUCUUCUCUAUCAUACAUAUCACCACAUACCAUGGUAAGACAGGCAUUUAAGGUUCCUUUU